rnacentral:rRNA from 1 species
UCCUGACUGACCGAUAGUGAACCAGUACCGUGAGGGAAAGGCGAAAAGAACCCCGGCGAGGGGAGUGAAAAAGAACCUGAAACCGUGUACGUACAAGCAGUGGGAGCACCUUCGGGUGUGACUGCGUACCUUUUGUAUAAUGGGUCAGCGACUUAUAUUCUGUAGCAAGGUUAACCGUAUAGGGGAGCCGCAGGGAAACCGAGUCUUAACUGGGCGUUAAGUUGCAGGGUAUAGACCCGAAACCCGGUGAUCUAGCCAUGGGCAGGUUGAAGGUUGGGUAACACUAACUGGAGGACCGAACCGACUAAUGUUGAAAAAUUAGCGGAUGACUUGUGGCUGGGGGUGAAAGGCCAAUCAAACCGGGAGAUAGCUGGUUCUCCCCGAAAGCU